AAAGUACAGUCGUGUUUAUUUACCUGGACGACUCUUUGUUUUUCUGCUGGACAUAGGCUGAACGCUAGCACAUGGAAGAAGGUCAGAAGCCACGCCCCCUCACCUGACUGAAGACCCUCAGACAGGUGAGAGAGAGCUGGAAAUGGGAUCCUUUCCAACCUGAAGUGCUCCUUACUGAACUCAGAACGGCUUUGUGUGACAAACAAGAAGUUUAAAACAAGAACAUUUACACAAAGGUAGAAAUAGAGG